AUGAAGCUGCUCUUUGUCUUCCUGUCCUUAUUACCUUCUCCAUUCUAUGUCCAUGGCAGUGUUCAGCUCAAGGAUUCUGGACCAGGGAUAGUGAAACCUGGAGGAUCCCUCCGACUAACCUGUGUUGUCAGGGGUGACUCUAUUGAGAAUUCCUGGUGGGAUUGGGUUCGACAGCCUCCUGGGAAAGGACUGGAAUGGCUGGGCCUGAUAGAGAAGAAAGGAUCCAUCUGGAGCACACGCUAUGCCCCAUCUCUCCAAGGCCGCCUCACCUUUUCUGCCGAUGCCUCCAGCAACACUUAUUCUCUCCAGCUGAACUCCUUGACAGCUGCAGAUGUGGCCACAUAUUACUGUUCAAGAGGGGCCCACAGUGAUUCAGAGCAAUCCCAGAACCAUACAAAGAAGGGGAAGGCAUUUGCUACUGGCUCUUUGCCUUCAAGAUAUUUCAAACAUUGA